AUGAAAUGCAAAAAAAUGCCACCGACGGAGAGACUGGGUAUCAGACAAAAAAUGCAAAAAUGCUCAAAAGUACACUGGGUUGCAGAUGGCAAGACACUUCACUUCGUCUUUGUGGCUGGAGGUUUUCUUCUUCGUGCAUAAAUGAUGGAGUGACAAAUUUUGUGGAUUGCCAUUGUUGAUCUGUGCACCGUGGGUUGGACCUGAGUGCAUUUUGAAUCUAGGUUCAUCCUGCUUCUCCAGCACCCAAGUCGUCUAGCACAGGCAUUGCCUAGUGCCACCCUACAACAGCCAUCUCUCCACCUAGAUCCACCCCGCACUGCCCAUCCCUCUGUUCUAUGCCACCCGUCAUUCCUCCUCUAUCGCCCUUCAAAUUUAAACAUCCCGAGUCACCCCAACACUUGCGUUGUGUCACUUGCCCAGUGCCACCCCGCAACAGCCAUCCCUCGGCCUAGUGCCACCCACCAACGAUCACUUUCUCAAAGAGAAGGUACGGGUUGCUGAAGAAAGCACAUGAGAUCUCUGUGCUUUGUGAUGCUGAGGUGGCUUUAGUUGUUUUCUCUACCAAAGGGAAGCUCUUUGAGAGAGGUGACUCCCCUAGGUGCCGCAUGAAGUGUACUCCACAGACUGUAAGGCUAUCAUCUCUAUGUUGGAGCUUGGAAGGUUGGAGGACUUGAAGUUGUUGUGCUGGAGAAAGCUCGAAAAUGGAAGCAUGAGUUGAGGUGGGAUUUAACUGAAAAAUUAAGUAUUUUUGCCGUUUGGUUCAGAGGCGUCUCCAUUGUUUAAAUAAUCUCAAUGGUUUGUAGGCACUAGGAUUUGUGGAUGGAUUUAUUGUAUGGGCGGGUUGUGGAGACCCUAUGUUGUGAUUCCUCAUGAAUUGGGAGUACAUGAAUGUGAUUCCUAAAGUGUACCUUCACUUUUGUGCGACAAAAUUAGGAAUGGGAGAGAGGUGUCGGGCAAUGCAUUCGAUAGAAAAUUUCCUUUUGCUUGAUUUGGACGCUAUAUAAGGAAUCAAUGUAUAUACAUUAAAAAUUUUGUUCAUUAUAUGUUUCUAUCAA